GGCAGAAAUAGGCAGGGUGGUGCUACCUACUCGAGCAAACUCAAAAGACGUCCUACCACCAGUAAUUACGCAAAUUAUAAUUUUGCGGGUUUGAUUUUUAUUACACGAUGUUAUUCCUUCACCUUGGAAGUCAAUCUGAUGUCACUACGGAAGGCAGUGAUAAUGUAGACACAGCCCACUGAGUUUCUCGCCGGAUCUUCUCGGUGGGUCGCGUUUCUGAUCCGGUGGUAGAUUCUGCGAAGCACUGCUCUUGCUAGGGCCAGUGUUAGCAACACUCCCAGUUUGAGCCCCGUGAGCUCACUUACUAGCUCGCUGAAUCUAGAAUAACCCCUCGAGGUUACUAAAAUAGGCAGGAAAAAAAAUUGGUCGCGCAGUCGAAAAAAGCUUUCGCCCGUAGUUUGUAGAUAUUUAUUACAUUACAUAAAUAUUACUCUAUAUUUUCGUUUGAUUAUUUUUGUUCUGGAUCACGCUUGUAUUUUCUGGUAUAACGAGCGUUCGUAAUCUUGGAGCGGUUUCAUUUUUUUUAUUGCCUUUUUAGGCAGACAAGCGUACGGCCCACCUAAUGCUAAGUGGUUACCGUCGCCCAUGAACUUCAGCAAUGGCAGGAGCAGAGCCAAGCCGCUGCCUAUCGUAAAAGUCAUAACACGUUUCACAAAAAAUUGAAUAUUUGUAAAAUCAUUAAAGUAUCAAUAAAACAAAUAAGUAUCAAUAAUACUACUAUGUAGUUAACUCAAGCUGAUACAAACUUAAAUUUCGGCUCAUUGUCACGUAACGGGUGGCACUGCAUUUAUUGGUCAAACACAUUAUAACGCCAUGUUUGACUGACCUAGUAGAAAGAUUGCCGCCUUUGGAACCACUCUGACUUAAGGUUAAAUUUACAAAGACCAGGAAGCUAUGGGUACACAAUUUACGCCAAAUUAACAACGCUAUAGUCAGCGUCAAAUUUGCAAUUGCAAAAUCAUGAUAAAUGGGCACUACACAUUUUCAAUUUAGGAGAGUUGACACAAAAUCGAAUUCCAAAAUAAGUUUUGGAAUUUGUAAAACUAAAUAUGUAGGUAGGUAUUGCUAUAAAGAUUAAUACGCAGCUAAUACAUAAAUAACACAACGCGUCGCCGCGUUGUUUUAAACAACUGCAUCACAUUCCGUCAUCCAGAUAAGGCUACGCCUCGGUAUUGCUCAAUACACAAGGUUUUGCUAUUCGUUGUCCGUCGUAGUUUCACUGCUUCACGUCGUCAUCAGUACAGUAGUAGAACCGAGCGGGGCAGGCCGGCUUUAGUUAAAAUUUUCGUGCUACGCUAACGUGGAAAACCGAAAAUGGGCAACGUGUUGUUUUCCAUAAUCUGGUUAAUCAUUUUGAUAUUCAUUGCCUUCUGGGUAGCUGGAAUAGCGGCUGGCAUCUACAUUAUUGUACUUCCGUUCACAGUGUGCAUAGAGGCGUUAUCUGUAAGUAUUAUUUUUAGUUUGAAAAUUGUAAGUAGUUACCAGGAUAAUAAGUACAAAUUUUUGCAUUAACUGGGUACACACAAAUCAUUGGUUGCGUUUUAGUUGCCAACCAUAAGAACGAAUUACUAAUCAUCUCAUAUUUUUAAAAUGUAUAAUAUCAGUUUUAUUAAACGAGACUAAAGAAUGACGCCACUUCGUGACCAUGAGCUCAAUUCUCAUCGCCAAUAUACAUACAUUCAAACUUCCUAACUACUUCCAACUACUUGUUUCUCUAUUUAGGUGUUACUGUAUAUGGUACUUAUUAAUUUGCUUAUCACAAAACUUUGUUUUUAACUCUAUUUCCGUUUUAAUAACUGUUAACUAUAAAAAAACAUACUAAAGACCUGGCUAAGUUUAAUUAUAAAAUUGUUUUUUAAAAUACAUAUAUUAUUAUCAGAAGUUAUGGUGUACCAUACUACAUAGAUAAAUUUAUUGGUUUUAUGUUGUGUAUGACCAUACUAUAACAAAGUACCGUUUUCUUACUUUUUUUUUGUAUUUCAGGGUUUAGCAGAUUUCCUAUUAUCAGUGGUUCAAUUCCCGAAGUAUUGCGCGCAGGCCAUGAUGGAAGGAAGAGGAUUUAAUUAAUUUAGACAUAAUUUUUGUAGUUAACGUAUCGUAUAUCGAUAUCAUUAUAGUAAACUUUAAUUAUGGUGCCAUCUAUGUACUCAAACCUUUUUGGUUUGUUAUUUACUCUCCGUUUUAGCGGGAAAUUUUCACUCAGAUAUGGUGUACCAGUGUUGCACUCUACAACAUAAGUACCGUACUACAGAAAACAAAUUGUUUUACCUAGCAAUUACGGAUCAUUAUGAGGAAAGAGAAUACUGCCCUUUGGAAAGUCACUUAUUCUAAUUUAAUCAGUACCUAUCUCAUUUGCUCUAAGAUGUGAUUUAUAUAUGUGCACAAUCGAAUCACAGAUAUAAUUAAAAUUACUAUUACGGUCUGUCCCCCGCGUGACCGCGAAAAUUGUAAAGUACCUAGAUAAUGCACUUAAUAUUCUUUAACGUAUUCCAAACCAUAAAAGUAGGUGGGAUUAUGUUUACCGAGUUUUUUUUAUCGAUAAUAAGAGACAAAAGGCAGUUAAUUAUACAGUUUAGCCCUAAUAAAUAAAAACUGUCUAGUUGCUAAGUCAACCCAGGGCAAGAAAAUUGCAAACAAUUGAAAUAAACACCCAACUGAAGAAUGAGUAAAUAUAUGUCAAAAAUAACAUUUUAUAAAUACAAUUUCUAAAUAAAUGUCACCGAUUUUUUAUAGUGAUACAAAUUUCGUCUAUAUCUUCUUUGUAAUAAUUAUUUAUUUUAUCGUUUUUAAGUUCAUUCGUAUGACCGGGCUGUUAUUACUGUUUUAAAAGUAUAGUAAGUGCGUUUUUUUACUUAAAAUGUAAGUAAGGUAAAAGAACAGCGCUCAUGAUAAAAUAGUUAAAUGAAAGUAACCGGUAGAAUCUUUAAGCACCUGAAAUGAUAAUUAUCUUAUACGUGAUAUGUGUAUUCCAUGUGUUAGGUACGUAUGUAGGAACUCCAAUUAAUAAUAAACCAGCUCCACUGAGAUUAGAUCCACAUCUUCAGAUAUAAUAUUAUUACCAUUAAAAAUCAUUAUUAUUAAA